GCCCAGGUGGUGGAAUUGGUUUACACACACGGUUGAGGGCCGUGACUCUUUGAGUGUGCGGGUUCGACUCCCGCUCUGGGCA
rnacentral:tRNA from 1 species